GAAUCAGUUGGUCGACAGACAUAAACACCAUUUGCAGGUGAAAUUGGAAUACCAUUACAUAGAUAUGGGAAGUUGACGAUGGAGAAACGUGCGACACUGAUGAUAGAUAAACAGGUACACACGGAAAACGUCUGAGAAAUUAGUCAUCAUUCACCAACAGGACAGUCUUGUCAGACAUCUAAGUAAUUUCAGCAACACCAGCUUUCAGCAUCUUAAGUACUGUCUCUGUCAAAUAUGAAGGUACUUUGGAGGUACACGAGGGUCAUCAGCAAAUCCGACAUCCAAUGGUUUCAGGUGAACGGUUUUCUUACGAGCAGCAACAAUUUCACUUGCCAUUACUUUUUGUGCUGAAAGAGACCGUGUUGGCAUGUCAGAUUCACAGCGUCUCGAAGCAUAGUUGGUGUUGAAAGAGGUUCCAGUUGAUAUUGGACUUUCUUUAGACCGAAGACGCCUGUUUGCAAUGACACGCUGGGAAUGUAUCAGAGAUGAAUUUUCAUGUGUGCAUCUGGUAUCCACUUUAUAUUGUUCCGUCUGUCUUGCUUCAGAGGAAUGGAAUGGGAUUCUUUCAUGAACUAAUUGCUUUCUUGAGGCAUCAAUCAUUCCUGUUUGUUUGUCUGGAGGACGUUCAUCUGUCUCCGGAUCCCCAUAUCCAGAAAAACUUGCUGCUGAAUAACUAGUGCCUUUGUUUUCAUUGUUGAUGCUAUAGUAACUUCUUUCUGAAUUUUCAACAGAGGAUUGUUCGAACGUGUGAAAUUCAGCCACAUCAACAUCACUUAGUGAUAAAGCUUCUAAUGAUGCCUGUACGUCUCGCGAGGUAGCCAGUGUACACCUAGUAGUGUCUUGCACCUGGUCCAUUAAUUCAGUUUCGACAUGUCUUUCUGAUGCCCAUAACUUCCACAAAUGCCCCCCUUCGUCAUCACCUCUUACUUUUAUACUCUUUUGAGCACGACACUUUCCUCGGAAAAUGGGACAGUUACGAUAAAACUUCAUUAUCUUAACAGGAAUUUUAUUACAUUUUCCAAAUUUUUGAAGUUUGUUGAAUAUCCAUAGUCGGCGAUUGUCUGCAGUCACCCAUAAUCCCUUAUCUUUUCUAACUCUGAUUAUUGGGAUAUCGUUUAUAGUGCAGGCACCAGAUAAAAUGUCGUCAAGUGUUUUACCAAUGCGUUUAUUGCGAUGACUGGUGGUUUUCCCAAAGUAAUUAGAGAUGGAAUCCUGGCUGUAGUAUAUAUCUGAUGGUGCUAGCUGUUGAUAUGAUUCCAUAUUCUAGUUGAUCAAAAUUUGAUUUUGAAAAAGAAACCAGUUUUUCCAAGAAGUGCGAAUAUGCAUGCGCAAACAGACACCGACGAUUUCAAAAAAUGAUCAAAUUUACAUGUAGUCAACAUUUAAACUACCGGUAUGUCGACAUCGCCUUAACUCCCUUAAUAAAUUCAAAAUAACCUAAUAUUAUGUGUACAGUUGAUUCCCUGAUACAUUUCCUCUUGUGAUAGGAUGAACUCUAGUAUUAAAAUGAAAGUGAAAUUUCUA